rnacentral:lncRNA from 1 species
AAGUUUCAGAGAUUAUUUUUGAGCAUAAAAUGUCAGUAUAGAAAUCAUUUCAGAUCUAUGUGACAUACACCUUAGCCAUUUAUUUCACUUCCAUCCAUCUUUGUCUUCGAUGUAUAGAAAUAUGUCCACAAAUAAUGGAAAAAUAAAUGUAAAUUCACCUAAAUGAGUGGAAAAACCCAUAACCAGUGUCAAGUGUCAAGUGAAUUAUAAGAACUGAAUGAGUAAUGACUGAGUAUAUAUAAUUCUGCUGAUUUUGUGGAUUUAUAGAUAUAUAUGCGACAUUUGUCCCACAAAGAAAGAGACAAGUGAACAGUUUUAAACACAUUAGGUAUAUCUUUGCAGAAUUUAUGAAAAACUUUUCUUAAAAUAGGUUACUUGGAUCAGUAUAUUUACACUUUACACAGCACACACCCCAAAAAGACCAAUUCAACAUGGUAAUGACAAUUCCCAAUCUACUCAUAGUAAAGCUUCUCUUUUGAAAAACCAAAGCAAAAACAAAACCCUAAAUGCAUACUGUAUCUCAUCAAAUAAAAAUAUACAUAAAACAUAGAUACACAGAAUAAAUAAAAAGCUUAAGGAGGAAAUGAUUUCUUAUAUGAAUUUUUAAAACCCUUAAAUUUAUAUUCAUUGGAAUAUCUAAGACCAACCAUCAAAAGUUGAAAAUGUACUUUUUAUAUUAAAUCAGCGGAAAAAAUUUUAAAUUAUUGGUCAAAAAUAAUUAUGCAUUCAAGACAUAAUUAAAUGGAGUUUGCUAAUGAAAUUUUGCUAUUUGGAAAGAUUUCAAAUACACUAGUUUGUAGAUAGGUGACUAAGCAUAACCUCUUUACAGUUCAGCUUGUUUUAUAUAAAGUUGUACAAAAUGAAUAAUUAAAAUGUACCUUAUAUAGUUGUUCUUAGCCGUCAGUGUAAUAGUUCAGGUAGAAAAGUUCUGGAUCAUGGUAAGAUCUCUGCACUUACCUAUUUUGAUCACCGUUAUUAUUUCUGGAAAAAAAUAAAAGCAACACUUAAAAUGAUAAUAGGUUUUUUAAUAUUUAAAUUAAUAAAAGGAAAUAAUUUAUGACAUAAGAGUAUUUUAAAACUGUAAAACUCUAAAUCAUAAAAUUCUUUAUGACUUGGAGUGGGUAAAGAUUCUUAAAUAGAAAUUAUCUCAUAAGAGUUCUCCUCAUGGCUCAGCAGUAACAUACCUGACUACCAUCCAUGAGGACAUGGAUUUGAUCCUGGACUAGUUCAGUGGGUUAAGGAUCUGGUGUUGCCAGGAGCUAUACUGUAGGUCGCAGAGGUGGCUCAGAUGCCUCAUUGCUGUGGUUGUGGUAUAGGCCAACAGCUCUGAUUCAACCCCUAGCCUGGGAACUUCCAUAUGCUGUGGUUGUGGCCCUAAAAGAAAAAAAAAAAAAAAAAAAAAAAAUAGAAAGCAAAAGCACAGAAUAUAAAAGAAAACUUUGAUAAAUUUACCUUCAUCAAAAUUGAAAAUGUUUACUCUUCACAGGUCGGAAAUUAAAUGAAAAAGCAAGUCACAAACUGGGAGAAAAUACUCACAUGUAUAUCUGACAAAAGACUUGUGUUGAGAACACUUACAAAUCAAUAAUAAAAAGAUAAAUCAACUCCACAGGUGAAACAGACAAAAGAAUUAACAGACAAUUCAUAAAAGAAUUUUAAGGAUGGUAAAUAAGCACAUUAAAAGAUACUUAACAUUAUAAUUAACACCAUUUUAUUAAAGAAAUGCAAAUUAAAAGCAUGAUAAAACACCUGUACAAGCCCUUUAUAUUGACUAAAAUUUAAAAAACAAACUAUCCCAAAGAAAGUGUUAUUAAAGAUGUAGAGGAAAUUAAAAUAUCAUAUACUGCUGGUGGACAUGUAAAAUGAUACAAUAAAUUUGGAAAAAUGUUUGACACUUUUGUUGAAAAAAGAAACUAGACCUACCAUAAGAUCUACCAGAAACAGACACAUUAGUGAUACCAAGUGGGAAAAAAGGUAUAAAAUAUAAAUAAAUAAAUAAAUAUAUACUGUAAGAGUGUCUCAAAUAAUGCUAUAUUUUCUUUCUUGUACUCUCUGUAUUGUUCUAGAAACAUACAAUUUUGUCAACUUAAGAAAGAGCUACUCUUUGCUAAGAAUCUAGAAAUGAUCAAUUUAUAUAAUUUAAUCAUGAGUUCUCAUGCUUUGUUCAGAGUGAUUUUGCAGGUCUGUUGCCAGGAGCAUUGAAAUUUUUAUUCCAUUAUUUUUAUACCUUUAUAACAAAAUCUAAUGGAGCUCUUUAGCUCAGGACUGUAUCAGCCACAAAACAAUUGAGAAGACUGAAUCUGAAACUCAGAAUAAAAUAAAAAUAUAAUUUUUACAGACAUUUAACUUAGUUAUGAAUUUCUGAGAUACAUUGUUGAUUUCUUAAUAAGAAAGAAUUUGUAAAGUUCUUUAACAAGUGAAUGUAGCCAUGCUUCAAUCAGAUUCUUAGCUUUAUUCAUCACCUUAUUUCUUUAUUAUCCCAUGAUUGUCUUCUGUGCAUUAGAGAAAAAUACAAAACAAACAAGCAAGAAAAACCCACAAAACCUUUUCUCAGGGCUGGUAUCCCAACCACUAAGCAGAUUCAGUUUCUGCAUUGAGUCAACAAAUGUGGUUUUAAACAAUGUACUAUCUUAUGUUAAUUUACUAUAUAAUUUUAUAAAAAAUCUGAAGAUAGGUGGCUCCAAUUGGUUGAUUUAGAGGUAUGUACACUGGUGACCUUACAAAUUCCCUCAUCUCAGUAUCUUUGUAUUGCUCUUGCUAUUCUAAACACACAGGUACAAUGUAGAUGCAACCACAGCAAGCAAAAUUUUCUCCAAUUCUUUUUGUCAAAGAUGAGAUGAGCAAUUUUUUCAUAGUAUGUUUAUCUUGUAUUAGAAUAAAAACUUUCUCUUAAAUUGUUUCAUCAGAUAUCACAGUACAUCUCAUUGAUCAGAAUUUAAUGACAUCCCUAUGUAAACCAAUCAUGGAAAAGGAGAAAUAAGAUUAUGUACUAUGACUAAAUUGUCAGAGUUGUUAUUUAUUUUGGGCCCAACUUCCCAGAGCAUUGUGAGAUCUGUUUCCAAAAUGAAGGUAUCACGAGUAAAUCAGAGAGGAAGAGGGCUCUUAAAUAGACAGCUAAUAAACAGCUCUACAUUAAGCAAAAUGGGGAGGAUAAGAAAAGUGUAAAAUCACAUUUUGUCAGGAAUGAGCAGUUUGACUGUUAAGCAAUUUUGCAUGCAUAAUUGCAAAUAUACAUUGAAAAGAAAUCUGAAUUAGAGUCACUUUUCAAAUUAUCCAAUUUUUUAACUCUAAGAGUUUUACAAAAUAUCUAUGCUUAUGGACUUAGAGUAUCAUAGUUUGUAGCUGUUUCAAAUAUUCUAAAAGACCCAGAAUUUCUCAUCUAAUAUUCUCCGGAUAGGCUAAAAAAGUGACUCUUCAAUUAACUAGUAAUGGACAUGAUCACAAAGACAUAGCUUCUUCCAUACCUCCCUCUUUUACACUUAGUAUCAGCUUUUGUGGAAAUGCAUUUGUCUUUUGAUUUCUGAAAAUUUUGAGAAACUAUGAUUCAUAAACUGAAAAAUGCAGAAAUUCUUACGAUACAUCACGAAAGACAUUAAAGAACAUCCUAGGCUUCCUAUACUUUGUUUUCUUCCUAUACAUUUACAAUGUAAAAGGAUCAGUUUUAUGUGAAUGGAAUAGUCUCAACUUUACUAUUUUAUACUUUCCUAGCAACAGUUUAUAACGUUCAUUUUUAUUCAUACAAAGAAAUUAAUGUAGCGUGGAAAUGAACGAAAUUUCCUUUGGCUUACUAAAAUAAUGAUAAGGAUCACCUGAACCACUACUAAGUAUUUUUUAGAGAGACGAUUAGAGUGAAAACAUAGAUAUUCUAUAGAUGCCAAUAUUUAAAAUAACCAUAAUUUCAUAAUAACCAAUAUUAUAAAAAAUGUGUAGGUUUUGGUAUAGAAGCAAUAUAAAAUCAUCAAAUAAUUUAAGGAUAUAAUAUUUAGAAUCUGGAUAUUCAUAUUUAUUUAUAAUGAAAUUAACUAGAGGCCAAUUCCCUACUGGACCAGAAACUAGAAGCACUGAGAGGAAACUCAGUGGAAACUAAAUUUAGGUUGUGAAAAAGUUUUCAAAUCUUGUUUACCUUGAGGCACAGGGGACAUAAAUUUAAGGACUGACAAUAUAAGGUGGUCACAAUGGCCACUUUUAUAAUGGAGAUCACUGAAUAUUUCCUGGCACUCUAAGAGACAAUGUACUUUAAUGUAGAUUAUAUCGAUUUACCCUAAGAUAACUGUUUCCUCUUACCUUGCAAUAACUUGGAGUAAAUCAAUGCAAUCUGCAUUUCAAUACUUUGUUUUACUGACUUCUUAAUACAGAUGGCUUGAAAAAUUUGAUUAGAGGACAAUAUGCCCACACCUGCUAAUAACUGAGCAGCAUCCAGGUAGGAAACUGGAAAGCAAAUAAAUCACUUUAUUUUUAAAUCCACCAAAGCAAUUAGUGCUUCUCUAUUCUAGAAAUGUUACUGACAAUGAUGUGACCUUGCUAACUUUGUCAUAAUGUCUAAAAAGCCCUGCCUAAAAGCAUUCAUCUCUCACUGUUAAGGUUAUACAUCAUAUGAUUACAUUAAAAUAUAAACAGUGAAAAUACUUCCAGUAAAUGUAGGAGAAUUUUAUUACGUCUCUCUUUCACAUUUAAAAAUUGUUUUUAGUGAUCACAAUAUUUCCAUGACUACAGGUAUUAUUAUUUAAAAGUUAGUGGACGUUCCUGUCAUGGUGCAGUAGAAACGAAUCCAACUAGGAACCAUGAGGUUGUGGGUUCGAUCCCUGGCCUCACUCAGUGAGUUAAGGAUCCGGCGCUGCCGUGAGCUAUAGUGUAGGUCUCAGACACAGCUCAGAUCUGGCAUUGCUGUGGCUGUGGUGUGGGCUGGCAGCUACAGCUCUGAUUCGACUCCUAGCCUGGGAACCUCCAUAUGCCAUGGGUGCGGCC